UGGGGAUAUAGCUCAGUGGUAGAGCACUUGCCUGGCAUGCAUGAGGCCCUGGGUUCCAUCCCCAGCACUAA
rnacentral:tRNA from 1 species